UCCUUGGUUGUUUGCCUGACUCCAAGCUA
rnacentral:piRNA from 1 species